ACAGAUGCGGGGAGCUAGCAUAUGCAGUCGAGCGGCAGCGGAAGUAGCUUGCUACUUUGCCGGCGAGCGGCGGACGGGUGAGUAAUGUCUGGGAAACUGCCUGAUGGAGGGGGAUAACUACUGGAAACGGUAGCUAAUACCGCAUGACCUCGAAAGAGCAAAGUGGGGGAUCUUCGGACCUCACGCCAUCGGAUGUGCCCAGAUGGGAUUAGCUAGUAGGUGAGGUAAUGGCUCACCUAGGCGACGAUCCCUAGCUGGUCUGAGAGGAUGACCAGCCACACUGGAACUGAGACACGGUCCAGACUCCUACGGGAGGCAGCAGUGGGGAAUAUUGCACAAUGGGCGCAAGCCUGAUGCAGCCAUGCCGCGUGUGUGAAGAAGGCCUUAGGGUUGUAAAGCACUUUCAGCGAGGAGGAAGGCAUCAUACUUAAUACGUGUGGUGAUUGACGUUACUCGCAGAAGAAGCACCGGCUAACUCCGUGCCAGCAGCCGCGGUAAUACGGAGGGUGCAAGCGUUAAUCGGAAUUACUGGGCGUAAAGCGCACGCAGGCGGUUUGUUAAGUCAGAUGUGAAAUCCCCGCGCUUAACGUGGGAACUGCAUUUGAAACUGGCAAGCUAGAGUCUUGUAGAGGGGGGUAGAAUUCCAGGUGUAGCGGUGAAAUGCGUAGAGAUCUGGAGGAAUACCGGUGGCGAAGGCGGCCCCUGGACAAGACUGACGCUCAGGUGCGAAAGGGUGGGGAGCAAACAGGAUUAGAUACCCUGGUAGUCCACGCUGUAAACGAUUGUCGACUUGGAGGUUGUGCCCUUGAAGCGUGGCUUCGGAGCUAACGCGUAAGUCGACGCUGGGGAAUGUACGCCGCAAGUUAAACUCAAUGAUUGACGGGGCCCGCAAAGCGGUGAAGCAGUGGUUUAAUUCGGAUGCAGCGGAAAACUUACCUACUUUGCCUCCACGAUCCGCGAGAAUGGCUUAUUGCCUCAGGAACUGAGACGGGCUGAUGCUGUCGUCAGCUCUGUGUGAAAUUAGGUUCAGUCCGAGCAGGCGCACCUUACUCUUGUGCCACAUAUGUGGAACUCAAGAUACUCG
rnacentral:rRNA from 1 species